rnacentral:rRNA from 1 species
AUGGCCGUGAAUGUGGCAGCCGCUCCGGUUGGAUAUCAAGGUAAUCGCGAUGCCUCUUACUGGGAUCUACUCGGUGAAUGUCUGGUGUGGUGUCGCUUAUGUCGGUUUUGUGUUUGGUUGGAUCAGAGGAAGCUCGCGCAGAGGUCGGAGAGGGUCAAGUCCGCGGAUCUGCAUCCGACAGAGCCAUGGAUUUUGUCGAGUCUUUACUCGGGGAGUGUCUGCAUCUGGAACUACCAAACGCAGACAAUGGUGAAAUCAUUUGAAGUCACAGAGUUACCAGUUCGUUCGGCUAAAUUUAUUGCACGGAAGCAAUGGGUUGUUGCUGGUGCCGAUGAUAUGUUUAUCCGCGUGUACAAUUACAAUACAAUGGAUAAGGUCAAGGUAUUUGAAGCUCAUACUGAUUACAUCAGGUGUGUGGCUGUUCAUCCAACCCAGCCUUUUGUGCUGUCAUCAUCCGAUGACAUGUUAAUUAAGCUUUGGGAUUGGGAUAAGGGUUGGGCGUGCACUCACAUAUUUGAGGGGCAUUCUCACUAUGUGAUGCAAGUCACAUUUAACCCAAAGGAUACCAAUACUUUUGCUAGUGCUUCCCUUGAUCGCACGAUAAAGAUAUGGAGUAUUGGUUCUCCUGAUCCUAACUUCACAUUAGAUGGCCACUCAAAAGGCGUGAACUGUGUUGAUUACUUCACCGGUGGUGAUCGACCAUUUUUAAUUACUGGAUCUGAUGAUCAGACUGCAAAGGUUUGGGAUUACCAAACCAAGAGCUGUGUUCAAACACUUGAAGGACAUGCACACAAUGUGUCCGCUGUCUGUUUCCAUCCAGAACUACCUAUUAUAAUUACUGGCUCAGAGGAUGGCACAGUUCGCUUGUGGCACUCUACAACCUACAGGCUUGAGAACACUCUUAAUUAUGGUCUUGAGCGAGUUUGGGCUUUAGGAUACAUGAAGGGGUCAAGAAGGAUUGUGAUUGGAUAUGAUGAAGGGACAAUUAUGAUAAAAAUUGGCCGUGAAGUUCCGGUUGCUAGCAUGGACAACAGUGGAAAAAUCAUAUGGGCAAAACAUAACGAAAUCCAAACUGUUAAUAUCAAGACUGUUGGUGCAGGCAAUGAGAUUGCGGAUGGUGAGCGAUUACCGUUGGCUGUGAAGGAGCUGGGAAGCUGUGAUCUUUAUCCACAGAACUUAAGGCACAAUCCCAACGGGAGAUUUGUUGUUGUAUGUGGAGAUGGAGAAUACAUAAUUUAUACAGCACUAGCAUGGAGAAAUAGAUCAUUUGGGUCUGCACUUGAAUUCGCUUGGUCAUCUGAUGGCGAAUACGCUGUAAGGGAAAGCACCUCGAGGAUAAAGAUAUACAGUAAAAAUUUCCAGGAGAGGAAAAGUAUAAGACCAACAUUCUCCGUCGAACGUGUGUUUGGUGGAGUAUUAUUGGCUAUGUGUACAAAUGAUUUCAUCUGCUUUUACGACUGGGCGGAUUGCAGGUUGAUACGUCGAAUUGAUGUCAAUGUGAAGAAUCUCUACUGGGCUGACAGUGGUGAUUUGGUGACAGUUGCAAGUGAUACAUCAUUCUACAUUUUGAAGUACAAUAGGGAUGUUGUAUCUUCUCAUUUGGACGGAGGGGGUUCAGUUGGUGAGGAAGGUGUGGAAGAUGCCUUCGAACUGCUUCAUGAGAUCAAUGAACGCAUCCGAACUGGGCUAUGGGUUGGCGAUUGUUUUAUCUACAAUAAUUCUUCAUCACGGCUUAAUUACUGUGUAGGAGGAGAGGUCACAACCUUAUUUCACUUGGACCGGCCAAUGUAUUUACUAGGAUAUCUUGCUAACCAGAGCCGUGUCUAUCUUAUUGACAAGCAAUUUAAUGUUGUUGGGUACACUCUACUCCUUAGUUUGAUCGAGUAUAAAACACUAGUGCUGCGUGGGGAUUUUGAUCGUGCAAAUGAUAUUUUGCCAUCUAUACCGAAGGAACAAUAUGACAGCGUGGCACAUUUCUUGGAAUCACGGGGCAUGUUGGAGGAAGCCCUUGAGAUAGCAACGGACUCUAAUUACAGAUUUGACCUGGCUGUUCAGCUUGGCCGCGUUGAUGAUGCAAAGGCAAUUGCUCUUGAGGUGCAAAGUGAGUCCAAGUGGAAGCAGUUAGGGGAGUUAGCUAUCUCAACUGGAAAGCUCGAGAUGGCAGAGGAGUGCCUCCUACAUGCACUAGAUCUCAGCGGUCUAUUGCUUUUGUAUUCAUCCAUUGGGGAUGCUGAAGGGAUAACAAAAUUGGCAUCUAUGGCUAAAGAACAAGGAAAGAACAAUGUUGCGUUCCUUUGUUUGUUCAUGCUAGGCAAGUUGGAGGAAUGCCUUCAAUUGUUGAUUGAAAGCAAUCGCAUUCCGGAAGCAGCAUUGAUGGCGAGAUCUUAUCUUCCGAGCAAAGUCCCAGAGAUUGUAGCAUUAUGGAAAAAAGAUCUCCAAAAGGUAAACUCAAAAGCAGCAGAGUCAUUGGCAGAUCCUGAUGAAUACCCAAACUUAUUUGAAGACUGGCAGAUUGCUCUCAAUGUAGAAGCUACUGUCGCCCCCAAAAGGGGUAUCUAUCCACCUGCUGAGGAAUACAUGAUUCAUUCUGAAAGGCCCAAUGAGAGUCUUGUGGAAGCUUUCAAGAACAUGCAUGUACAAGAAGAGGAGGACGUACAUGAAGAGGAUAUUCACGAUGAGGAGCUAACAAAUGAAAAUGACACUGUUCAAGAGGUUUUUGAAGAUGACGGAGCAGAAGAGAGCCAAGAAGAUGCUGUUGAGGUCGAGGCUGAUGGUUCUACUGAUGGCACUAUCCAUGUGAAUGGAAAUGAUAGUGAGGAACAGUGGGGUACGAACAAAGAAGAACCAUCAGCAUAA